rnacentral:lncRNA from 1 species
AAAUUUUGCAGGAGAUCAAUACUCUUUUAACAAUUCUGCCACAGAUGCCAGAGCUCAUUAGUAGGAGGUGAAUAACCAUGGAGGUCGGAAAUCCUAUUUUACUUGUCUGUCUGAAGGAUUUUGGUCUCUUAUCGCCUUAGCUUGAGGAUUUCAUGACCAGAUUUUACAGUCCACGUUGAGCUCUUACUCAGGAGGAACCCAACUGAUCUGAUGGGAUGCUUGGCUCUCAGGUGGCUGCUGUUGGCACUGAUGGAGUUCAUCCUGAGAAUACCUGAGCUGUGUGAUGUGGAAGGCAUUAAGCACGAUGCUGUAUUUUGAAUGAAGGGUACCCUGGCCCUGAACAUUCUCCAAGGAAAACAUCACAGUGUUUCAACACAAGAUGUCUAAAUAAAAUGCUGUAUCUUUUCUAACA